rnacentral:lncRNA from 1 species
GCCCUUCAUUAUAACCAGAAACUCUUUUUUGCAAAACUUUCAAUUUAAGAUUGUUCAUAGGAUUCUACCAUGUAAUUCAUUUUUAUUGAAAUGUAAAUUAAAAGAAACUGAACUUUGUACUUUUUGUUCAGAAUUUAAAGAAAAUAUUUUUCACAUUUUUUGGGAAUGUAAUGUAUCACAAAACUUCUGGCUAUCCGUUAUAGAUUGGAUUAAAAAUUAUGGCAUUCUCCUGCCUUUCAGUGCACAAGAAGUCAUGUUAGGUGUGUCUGGGGAUUUUGUUAACAGUAAAACAGUUAACAAUAUUUUGUUGUUAUUCAAAUAUUAUAUAUACAAAUGUAGAUGUAAGAACAUAUCCCCCACAAAAUAUGGUGGGGUAGAAUAUUUAAAAUAUUGGAUUAAUAUAGAAAAAUACUCUGUAUGUUUCUUAACCCCUGUACAAAAGGUAAAAAUGGAUCAGAAAUGGCAUAUGUUAGCAGCA